rnacentral:tRNA from 1 species
GUAGAUUUAAGUUAAAAUGUAAACUAUUAAUUUUCAAAAUUAAAAAUUUUAUCUAUA